ACUCUGGAUCUGUGCCUGCCAGGGACGCUGGAAUCCUGAGCCCUCUGAAGGCGAGAUGUAGGUAGGGAGAGCCUGGCAGCUGUGCAGAGGUGGGGAGGAUUCGCACCCUCCGCCUAGAGCUGCCAUUGUGACUGGCUUUGUGGACAAUCCAAAGCAUUUAUUGAACACCUACUAUGUGCAGCACCCUGGGCUAGGCGCCAGAGGCAGGGAAUGAGACCCAGAGUUUAGCUAUGGUGGCCCUUUGCCAUCCUCCAGAAAACUGAAGGAGAACCUGACGAGGAGGCGGCAUUGUGAAGAGUGUUGGCAGUGAAACCACAGCUCCAUCAUCCAGCACCUCGGAAUCUAAAGGACUCUUUCCUUCCAAGCGGCCCGUGACUCAGUGGGUCCAAACGAGAUCACAUUUAUGAAGCUCUUGGUGCCAUGCCUGGCAUGUAGUAGGCCUCGUAGAAAUGUUUAUUAGCUAUUGUUAUCUCUAAACAGAAAGGGAAUUAGCUCAGGAGUAAAGAAGAGGGAAAUGGACCUAGGUCAAUGACAGGAUGGAUUCCUGGGCCUCUUCCCUGGCCAGCGGCCUCCUGUCACCCUGGCGCUCCCCUUCAGGUCCAUUCUAGGCCUCUGUCCUCUUGUGGCAAAGGGUCAGAGCAGCUCAGGCAGUUCUGUGUUUUCCUUUACGAUCAAAACCACAGAGGGCACGGCAGCCUAUCGAGAUGUGAUCCGGCAGGUCAGGGCUAACAUGAAGAAACUGAGCAAGGACACCAGGUACCUGCGUAAGGUGCACUGGAAGGAGUGGAAGAUAUUUGACCAGAGCCAGAAGGAUCUGCAGGCCGAUUUCAUCAGGAAAGUGAAAGACGUCAACGCAAAUGCAUUAGAAAAGAAGAAGAUGAAUCAGUAUUUCAUCCCCCCUCCAGUUUUCCAGGAGGAAUUUUAUGAUCAAUAUGGAAAAAUCGUUGAAAUGGAAGAAGUACAUUACAACACUGCACACAUAACCCCCCAGCUGAAAAUGAGAUGUUAGGCCUGAGACUGUGAGUUAAGAGUCAUUAACCCUUCGUGGUUCCUUCUGUCGAGCACAUUAAAGGUGGGCCCCAUCUGGGGCUUUGGAGGCUGUGGCAAACAGGCCCCUGGAGGCUGAGUGCUGGGGGUAGAGGCUUUGGGAACGUGGGAGGAAUCCCACAUCCUCAGCUUAAGUGUGUUCUCCGACAUUGAAGUGUUUAUUUUAAAAUUCAAUAGAUUCAAAAGAGAACUUAUUUUCCUUCUCAAGCCCAUGCUUUCCUUCCUUAACCUCCUGAUUUCUGUUGAGAGAUGCACCAUACUCCUGGUCACCCUGGGUGGUCUCAGUCUUUCCUCUCACCUUGGCAUCCAGCCACAUCCUGUGGAUUUCACCUCUGAGUUACCUUGGACACCCACCCCCUUGUUCAGACCUUUGUUACCUCUGUUCUGGCCUAUUGUAAUCACCUUCAUCCUCUCUCCUCUCCAACUUAUCCUUUUAAAAUGUUUUGAUGGCUAGAUCCCAUUCAGCAGACAAGGAAAGCUGUUGCACAGUGCAUUCCCAGAAAGCCACUGGGCCACUUGGGACUGCCCUGAUAAUCCAUGGGAUGCUCUGGUUUUAUAAUUCAACAGAAAGGAAAGGUGUGUGUGUCAACUAUCACUUGAAUUUUUUUACCUGUCAGUGCUGACUUUGCCUUAUUGUAGUCAUUGUGUGUUGUGGUUUUCUCAGCUUUCUCCACCCGGCCUUCCUUCCUUCACCUUGAGCAGCCCCAUGUGCCUCUGAGUUCUUCCUUUUUGUUAUUCUUGAAAGUAUAGCGAUUCAUGACAUUCCACAGAGCAUACUUUGUUCCAUCAUCCCUCAAUUGUGGGGCAUGUGUUUUCUUCUCACAAAUAAUGCUGCUAUGAACAUUUAUUUGCAAAGGGGUCUUUUCUUUUUUUUAAUCCUUUUUUAAAAAAUUAAUUUAUUUUGAUUUAUCAACAAUCACUUCCGUAAGCUUUUGAGUUUUAAAUUUUUCUUCCCCUCCGUC
rnacentral:lncRNA from 1 species